UACGAAGGGGGCUAGCGUUGCUCGGAAUCACUGGGCGUAAAGGGUGCGUAGGCGGGUUUUUAAGUCAGAGGUGAAAGCCUGGAGCUCAACUCCAGAACUGCCUUUAAGACUGCAUCGCUUGAAUCCAGGAGAGGUGAGUGGAAUUCCGAGUGUAGAGGUGAAAUUCGUAGAUAUUCGGAAGAACACCAGUGGCGAAGGCGGCUCACUGGACUGGUAUUGACGCUGAGGUGCGAAAGCGUGGGGAGCAAACAGG
rnacentral:rRNA from 1 species